UUCGCAAUGCCCGAAAGGGUGACGAAGCGACGCCGCGUGCGGGAAGAAGGCCUUCGGGUUGCAAACCGCUGUCGGGAGUUAAGAAAUGUAAGGAUGUUAAUAGCAUCUUUGCUUGACUAAGGCUCCAGAGGUAGCCACGGCUAACUCUGUGCCAGCAGCCGCGGUAAUACAGAGGCGGCAAGCGUUGUUCGGAAUUAUUGGGCGUAAAGAGCACGUAGGUGGGUUUAUAAGUCAGAUGUGAAAGCCUUCUGUUCAACGGGAGAAUUGCAUCUGAAACUGUAAGUCUUGAGUAUAGGAGGGGAGAAUGGAACUUCUGGUGGAGCGGUGAAAUGCGUAGAUAUCAGAAGGAACGCCGGCGGCGAAAGCGAUUCUCUGGCCUAUUACUGACACUCAGUGUGCGAAAGCUAGGGGAGCAAACGGGAUUAGAUACCCCGGUAGUCCUAGCUGUAAACGGUGGGCACUAAGUAGAGGGGUUUU
rnacentral:rRNA from 1 species